CUGUCAAAACCAACGAGAAAAUCAUUAAAAGAGAGAUGAAAGCGACGACAUUUCCACAUUUCGCCAUCUUUAUUUUUCUCGCCAUGUUUAUUUUUCUUCUUUAUUAUUCUCUUUUUUUUCUUCUUAUGGAAUAUUUAUGUUGUAUCCACUCAUCUAAUUGUUAAUUAUAUAUACGGAUUUUAAGUUUUCUAAAAAAAGAAGAUGAAACGUAAAUUUUUGUCCGUAAAAAAGGGUGGUCAAUGAACCACAUAAUUUUCGGUCUAGUUUGACAUGUUCAGAUAACCCCUAAUAUAGGUUAUGUUUCUAAAAAAAGGAAAAUACUAGCUUCGAUUGACUCGAUGACCUCAUGAAAAUUCAAAUAAUUGGCUGUCUAAGUGUCUGUCUAUCUUGAAUCAUCUAGCAGAUGGUUAAUUUCUGGAUGCCAAUGUUUUAUUAUGCAUAAAUGUCGCCUUAAGAAUAUGAAGAUGUUGUGGUCUGGGAUAUAUACCUAAGCACUCUGAGGUUAAAGUAUUUGGCAAGCAAUAACCCUCCUAAAUUCAAAAGGUGGAUUAGGUUAAUUUAACUCUUUAACGAGCAAAGCUUUAGAGAUAUUUAGGUGGAUAUACUCCAUGGAAGCCCAUAUUAGAGAAGCAUGCAUGAAAUGACUUAAGAAGCCCGGGUUAUACCAUUUAUGCCUGGAGAAGACGAAAUUACCCCCGUGUGAUGAUGAAAAAAAGCAGGUACGUACACUGCCGUUGCAGAGGGAAGAAAAGCGUUGCAGGUGUGUAGGGUGGCGUUCGAGGUCAUAGGUAGACAGUUGGCUUACUUCUCCUCCACUCGUUUGCUCCGGGUAUUGAGACGAAAAGAUGGACGCUAUGUCCAAGAUCUCAUCGGUAAAGGGAAAGGAUAUUUUGAAAAUUUUUAUGUACUUGUUAAAAGGUAAACAAGAAAAUAAAUAACAUAAGAUAGCAGUUCAACUUUCUUUUGUGGGAGAAGAAAGUCUAGAACGAGAACUGUGAUAGAGAGUGAAGAAGAAAGAAGAGAACUCCGGUGACUGUACUCGUUUCAGGUUCAAAGAAAGAAAUGGGUCAGCUUGUAAAACUAGUUACAUGAGUAUGGGGGAGACAUGGCCAAGGAGUUUGGAAGUUCGAUGUUGAUCAUACUGAGGUAAAAUACGAUGUAGCUGUGAGAGAGAACGAAAGCUACGUUCCACUGCUGGAAAUGGUGAAGGGAAAGUUUCAGCUAAGAAAAAGACUUUUAACAUCAGAACUUUUAACCGGUAAAUAUUUAACUAUCGCUGUUGAAGGGAUAAUUAAAGACUUGUAGGGCAUGCAGCAGGUGUGGCGGGAGAAACCAUAACCACACAACAUGCAAGAUGCCCAUAUAAUAAGGACAUAUCCAGACGUUGGGGAGGUGCAAUGGAAGAAAGCGCUAAUCUUUUGAAGGUCUGAUCUGGGGUGACCCCUUUUGUAUUUUGUUAAACACUAAAGUUCCCCAAAGCAGCACCACAUUGAGAACCGUAUAUGUCUUUUGUGGUAUCUGAUUAUUAUUGUCCCCAACUUUGAUGUAAGAUUCUAUGUUAAACUUAUUAUGUGUUAAACUUAUUAUUAUCCGUUAA